CAGCCGCCACGGUAAGACAGAGGAUGCAAGCGUUAUCUGGAAUGAUUGGGCGUAAAGGGUGCGUAGGCGGACUUAUAAGUCAGGGGUGAAAUCCCAAGGCUCAACCUUGGAACUGCCUUUGAUACUGUUAGUCUUGAGUUCGAGAGAGGUGAGUGGAACUGCGAGUGUAGAGGUGAAAUUCGUAGAUAUUCGCAAGAACACCAGUGGCGAAGGCGGCUCACUGGCUCGAAACUGACGCUGAGGCACGAAAGCGUGGGGAGCAAACAGGAUUAGAUACCCCUGUAGUCCCUGUCUCUUAUAC
rnacentral:rRNA from 1 species